rnacentral:rRNA from 1 species
UUCCGGUUGAUCCUGCCGGACCUGACUGCUAUCGGAUUGAUACUAAGCCAUGCGAGUCAUUGUAGCAAUACAAGGCAUACGGCUCAGUAACGCGUAGUCAACCUAACCUAUGGACGGGAAUAACCUCGGGAAACUGAGAAUAAUGCCCGAUAGAACAUUAUGCCUGGAAUGGUUUAUGUUCCAAAUGAUUUAUCGCCGUAGGAUGGGACUGCGGCCUAUCAGUUUGUUGGUGAGGUAAUGGCCCACCAAGACUAUUACAGGUACGGGCUCUGAGAGGAGUAGCCCGGAGAUGGGUACUGAGACACGGACCCAGGCCCUAUGGGGCGCAGCAGGCGAGAAAACUUUGCAAUGUGCGAAAGCACGACAAGGUUAAUCCGAGUGGUUUCUGCUAAAGGAACCUUUUGUCAGUCCUAGAAACACUGAUGAAUAAGGGGUGGGCAAGUUCUGGUGUCAGCCGCCGCGGUAAAACCAGCACCUCAAGUGGUCAGGAUGAUUAUUGGGCCUAAAGCAUCCGUAGCCGGCUCUGUAAGUUUUCGGUUAAAUCUGUACGCUCAACGUACAGGCUGCCGGAAAUACUGCAAAGCUAGGGAGU